CGACAGAGUGCAUUUGUUAGUGUCGAUAAAAGUGGAAACCUAAACAAAAGCUAACUAAAUCAAGAGUAGAAAAUAUGCGUUUCCACUUAGUCCUGUAUUCGAUCUUCCUGACAUGUAAAGGAGUACUACUCCUGGCAGAAGGAAACAAUGGUUCUCGAAAAUCUCUCGAAGAACGGGGCUACGUGCCACCAUACCCACCCUAUGAUUAUCCAGCCACAGAAGAAGACUACUAUGUCAGGCGUCCAGAUUUCUGCUAUUCACCACAUGAUCCCGGAACGUGCCGGACAUGGAACCCACGGAAGCGGUGGUUCUACGACAGGGACCUGGGAGCCUGUACCCCAUUUCUUUACAGCCAGUGCGGUGGAAACAAAAACAGAUUUAUAUCUUGCGCUGAAUGUAAAGAAGUGUGUCAAUCUGAAGUAUGUGCUGAAAAAGUACCCAAAGGUAAAUGAACCUGCCAUGAAAUACUCGAGCCUUCAACAUGCCAACAGAGCUGUAUUUUUCGUUUCUAAAUUUUCGACGAAUUUCCGAUUUGUGGCCCCGAAAUCAAUCCUGCCAUACAUUAUGAAUCCAUUUAAAAGCCUGAGUUACUUCCCUUUAUGGUUUUCAAGAAGCUCCUAAUAAAUUUGGACUAUUGUGUAUGACAGAACAAAGUGCAGCAGUUAUUUUGAUACUCUCGAAAAUAAAA